rnacentral:rRNA from 1 species
AGCGAACGCUGGCGGCAGGCCUAACACAUGCAAGUCGAACGAAGUCUUCGGACUUAGUGGCGGACGGGUGAGUAACACGUGGGAACGUGCCUUUAGGUCCGGAAUAACCCAGGGAAACUGGAGCUAAUACCGAAUGUGCCCCUCGGGGGAAAGAUUUAUCGCCUUUAGAGCGGCCUGCGUCGGAUUAGCUUGUUGGUGAGGUAAGGGCUCACCAAGGCGCUAAUCAGUAGCUGGUCUGAGAGGAUGCCCGGCCACAUUGGGACUGGGACACGGCCCAAACUCCUACGGGAGGCAGCAGUGGGGAAUCUUGCGCAAUGGGCGAAAGCCUGACGCAGCCAUGCCGCGUGGAUGAUGAAGGUCUUAGGAUUGUAAAAUCCUUUCACCGGUGAAGAUAAUGACUGUAGCCGAAGAAGAAGCCCCGGCUAACUUCGUGCCAGCAGCCGCCGUAAUAC